rnacentral:lncRNA from 10 species
UCAGUACAGCUCCGGCCGCCGCGCCGCCUGGCUUUCGUAUUCGUUGUUCUCGGCGGGCUGUGGGGCCUCCGCGCCGCGGCCGUUAGUCAUGUCGGGUAGGUGACUUCUUCAGCGAGCAGCGGCAGCGACGAGAAGGUCCUGGCGGGGUUGGGCUGUCUUCCCGCCCACCGGAGGGCCCUGAGGAGAAGCCUCCGGCCCUGAGGGAGGCUUGGGGUGGGGGGGCGGCCGCUGCCGCCGCCAUGUUGAACUGGAGGCACGCACGCUCCCAAUGGCUCCCCGGCUGCAAAUCACGGCGGGAGCGCCUCGGGCCUCUUGUCUUUUGACCCUGUCCUUGGAACCCGAGGAGACUUGCCGUUCCCGGGGGAGGGUGUGUGUGAGUCGGGGGGCGGAGGCCGUCUACGCCAUCGUAGGGGCGGGGGGAGCCGAGAUUAGAGCAUCAGCCUGAGAGAAGCGGUGCUUCUGGUUCUCCGCUCCGCCUCGGAUCUUUCAGCGAGGCCUCGGGCCAGUCAUCUCGCCGCCUCGUACCUCAGUUUUCCCAUCCUCGAAGUGGAGCUGGGCCUGCCUGACUCACCCAUUCAUCAGGUGGGGGCCUUGACGCUCUGGGAGCCCUUUCAAAGGACGUUGCCUUACACGAAAUCGUACUUAUCGUUAUUCACUCUGCAGUAACCACCUGGAUUUGAGUUGGGGGUGUUUGCAUAGUAAUUUAGCUUCCUCUUCACCCUCCUGCCAUUCGUCUUCCCCACCAGUUUAUCUCCUGAAAGAGUUUGAAAGUGAGCCUUGUCUAUCUAUUAUUGAUAAGCUCCUGUAGGUGUAUGUGGCAUUUACCUUAAAACAUGCAGACCAAAGGAAAGGCAAUCUUUUUUCCCCCCACGAAGCAGUUAACUUGGCAGAGGCCACCCAUUGUGUGGAAGAGAAAGAGAGGCAUUAGUCUCUUCAGGACAACCAGUUUGGAUCCUGCUAAACCAGAAUAAAAAGUCUAGAACAUGGAUGUCCUCUUGAUUUAGCAGAUCUAGCUGUUCACACAGGGUCCUCUAUUGUUAGGCUGCAUCACGGGCCGCAAAGACCCAGGUGUCUAUCCACUUGCUAGAAACCAUCAUGAGAGUUAGAUACCAGUUUUCUGCUGGAAAUACAGAACAUUUCCUGAAACCGUGUGGUUGAGGUGAAACAGGCAUUUUGCAGUCUUAUAUUUUGAGUAAGGCCAAACCUGCCUAGUGUUAUAAAACUAGACAAAAAACCCAGGUACCCGGUCUUGCAGGAUAGAAAUGUGUGACUAAAAUGAAGCAUCGAUCUGAGAAGACUACAAAUUAGCGGGAACCUUUGGACAGGAGCAUGCUAUACAUUACUUAGAUUAAUGUUGAUAUUUAAGGAGCCAGGAUAUUGAUUUGUUUUUGAGGGGUGCCCAUCUACUUCAUAUAAGAGGCUAUAAACUGCACUUCUUUCAGUUUCUGCUUAAUCCUUGCUCAAACAAGAAAUAAUUUCUUAUUCCAAAGUAGACAUUGGUACAUCUUUUUCUAGGUACGUAAUUUGGGAUGAAGUCUGAUAAAGCUCCUUAGAAGUUCUUAUAGUACACCCUCACAAGAGUGUAUCAUCUACCCGUGGUUUAAACAGAAAUUAAAAUUCUACCCUCGUGGAGAAAUUUACCAAGUUUUAAUGGUUUCAGUCCUCAUUAAAAACUUUUAGCCUGUCUUGAUCUUUAACAUAAUUAUUGAUAUAAAACAAUGGCUUCUGUGGAAAGUCGAAGUUUUAGUGGUUUGCUAUUUGUAAAAUACAGGCUUUUUCAUGUAUCAUAUAAGCAUAUAAGCUGGCUUAAUCAUUAGUAUUGAUCUUCAAGUUACUAAGACACCAGAUAUUUGUUAUUUUGUAGUUCGAGUAUUUUUUAAAAUACGAAAUUGGCUUUUCGGUGUGUGAAAAGGGCUACUUACUAGACGCUUGUUUUUAAAUUAACAUUCAAUUAAUUAAAGCUAGACUCUUUAUAUUCUUAGGCUUGGUAUACUAUUUAUAUGUUUUGUAAUAAGUGUAUAAAAAUAAUACCUUUGACUUUGUGUAAAAAUAAUGCUUUUGACUUGUUCUUUGAUGAAUGUUUAUUAAAAUCCCCCAAAACAA